rnacentral:snRNA from 1 species
AUCGCUUCUCGGCCUUUUGGCUAAGAUCAAGUGUAAACAACAUCUUAUUAAUUCUGGUUUGAUUGUCUUUACCAAAAGAAAUCAUUCCUGAGGUUUUCUUAUGGAAAAUGUUUUGGAACUUUC